GGGACGGGGGAGAACGUGCAGUCAGUCAGGCGUCCCGCGUCUGUCCUCUUGAGGAAGAGGAUGUGAACUGGGUCCACGGGGAGGGAAGGCUGGGAGGACCACUGCUUGUCAGGAGGAGGAGGAGGAGGAGGAGCAGCAACAACAGCAGCAAGGGUUAACAAGCCACAGUGGAGAAAAGAAGAGCGGCAGAGGGGGUUUCUCCGGACCAAAGCAGAGAAUCUGCUCAUUUACCAUUUACCAAAUGAACACGUUGGGAGUGGUUGUGGGAUGAGAAGGUGGAUUUCCUGAUUUGAGGCUGUCUUAACGUGUCAUGAAAUAUGUUUCUGAACACUGACGGAGAGCUGUGCUGUGGCUGCCUGGGUUAGGGUCAGGGCCCAGUGCUUCACUCCCAUGCACAGCACCAAUGGUUUCCAGCCGUCAGGGAGAUCUCGGCAGUAAUGGGACGUGGCCCCUGAAGCCAUCUGCCUCCCCAGUGGAGGUAGGGACAGACCUGCCUGGCCUCAUAUGACACAUUUUUAAUCAAACAACUGUCAGAUGUCAGUGAGGGAAGAAGCCACAUGCCAGGAAUUGGGGGCUCCACAGAACCUACGAGACCAGGAUCUGGACAGGACGGUGCCAGCCACCAUAUCAUGGGCUGGGAUAAAAGCGACAGACACAAUCCCUGCCCUUGUGGAGCUUGCAUUCUAAUAGGGAAGAACAAUAUGAAAGAAGUAAUGUCACAAAUGGUUCUAUAAAUCAUAAUGGGAAUAAGGGGAAAAUACGACCUGAAGGAGCACCUACAGUACAGGUGCAUGGUGGAGGGUGGGACCGGCCUCUCAGGAAACAGCAGUGACCACGGAGCAGGUGCUGGCUGGACAGACAAGGUAGGACAAUCCAGACAAGAGAACAGCACCGGUGCCUGGAGACAACGCUGUGUGGUCCCUUCGCACCUCCCAGAGCCCCCCUUGUCCCACAGAGUGCUCGGGAAAUGUGUGUGAAAUGCAUGAAGGCAGCUCACGUGCUGGCCGGUGGGACCGGAAGCCAGAGACCCCAGUCAGCAGGCUUCCCUGGAGCUGGCACUGGCACGGGUCUGCCGUUCCCUCCUGAGGGAGGCUUCCAUUGACUCAAGGAGAAGGCAUGAACAGCAAGCUGACUCAAUGGGGGAAAUGUCACCAACACCGCCUGGUUGAGAGGCACUGGCAGGCACUGGCAGCAUACCUACUUGGAGGUGGGCUCAGCAGAGGGCAGGCACCCCAGGGGAACGGGGAGAGAGAGCCCCGCCUGGACCCUCCUCCCUCUUCUUCUACCUGUUGGAGCUCCCACUAACUCUGCUCUUGUAUUUCCUUUCCCUGGAAUGUGGUCUUGUGGCCAGUGGUGCUGGAUCUGCAGGAGGGACCUGGCUUCCUGACUCAGGGGAUACCAUCAAGACUGAGGACUAAGCAGAGUGGUCUGCAGUGGUCCAGAGGGCACACGAUGUGGACACGGUGGCGGCUGGGGACUGGGAGGGCUUUCUAGGAACUGCAGCAGCCCAAAUCCCCUAGAGAACACCACUCUUUCCUUUGUUUAUUCAUUCCCUCCAUGAAUAUAUAUAUACUGAGCACGUGUUAAGAGUGGGGCACACCCUGAGUCUCCUAUUCACUGACAGUUGGACUGUGGGCAAGUUCUCAACCUCCCUGAGUCUAGGUCUCUCCCCUGUAAAAUGGGGACAAUGAUCUUGUCCUUCACAGGGUCACUGGCAGUAUUAAUGUGUGGGGAGGGUCUGGCACUCAGUAGGGCCCAAUAAAUGUCAGCUGCUAAUAUUAUUUAAAAGUCUCAGGCAAUUCAGUGCCAAAGCAGGGCUAGACCACUAGUCUUGUUUCCCAAGCCACGGGCCCUCCUUCCAUCUGGUGCAGCAGUGCCUUGACUCAACUGAAUGUGGUGCUGGGGGGCCAGACAGUAUCCAUGUUUUGAAUGACUGGCUCAGAGGGACCACUGGUUGGGCAGAAGUAAGAUGUGUAUGUUUUGCAAAGCAAUUAUUCUGGGUCUUAAUUUCUGAUUUCCCAGAAUUCCAAGAGUGUAGAGGCCCCUGAUGGGAAGUCAGAAGCUUUGCUCUUUACCAGGCAUAAAGGCUGCUUCCUUGACUGGCAGAGCUCAGCCAUCCCUGAGAUUAUGGCCUCCUUCAAUCCCCCCACUGACGGCAUCCUCCUCUUCUCAUCUAACAGAACUGACUGCUAUGUACCAGGUGCAGUUCACACAGCACCCAGGAGACUGGCGAACAGGACAGACAGAGGCCCUGCCUUCAAAGGACUCACAGCUCAAUAGGGGAAAGCAUAAAGAAGUAAACAAAUAUUACAGAGUAAUAAACACAAAACUAGUAGUUAGUGGGGAAGGGUAGAGUUAAGAGCCAUGAGGUGGCAUGAAGCUGAGGCCUCAGUGAUAAGAAGUGGGCCUUGCAUAUUGGUGAGGAAGAACGCAACAGGCAGAGGGAGCAGCAAGAGCAAAGGCCCCGGGGCACCUUUAGUGUUCUAAUGAUGAGGAACCAGCAGGGCUUGAACCUAGUGAGUGAUAGGGAAAGUGGGGGAUGAGGCCAGAGGAGCAGCAGGGACCAGUACUAUGGCUAAUGUACUACUCAAAAUUUUUUCUCAGCUACACAUUAAAACAAAUGCUCACCUGUUAAAAAAAAACACAUUCGUCCCCAAACCAUCUUGCCUCCCACCAGUGGUUCUGCUCUAAUUGUGGAUCACUUUUAAAUGGCAGCUUUCCCUCCUCUUUCCCUGACUUCUCCAGCCCUGACUGAAAGGCCUGUUCUUGGAACACUUAUAGAUUAUAGCCCACACAGCUAAGCAAAAAAGAAGAAAAAAAUUUCAGCCAUCAACCCACCAGCUGGAGGGAACCACCGUCCACAUGUUGGGGUAUAUUUCAGUCCUUUUACCUGGGAGUCCGCACGAGUAUUAUUUUCCCUAAAAUGGAAUCCCACUGUACAUGUUGUUUUCUACACUGAACUGUAUAUUCAUUUUAACAGCUGUUUAUGAAGUGCUUUCUUCAUUCCAGGCACUGGAUACAGGGCAGUGAGCCCGACCUGCAUGGCCAGGCCUGCCUUCUGGAGCUGCUGUCUAGCCCAGGAGCUGUGGACAUGCAUAAGAGGGGCACCAGGCUCCAUCCAGCAUGGCCAGAGAUGACUUCAGGAAGAAGUCAUUGAUGUGGCUCCAUGUGACCCUGGGGUUCUAUUAGCUGCUUAGUCUCAUCAUCUGAAUGGGCCAUGAGCUAUUCAACCAAACCCCUCACGGUGGACAUUUGGGCUGCUCACGAAUGAGAGCUCUUUCCAGCUUCAGAUUCAGCUGCUCGGGCUGGGGGGCUUGUCUGACCACGAGGGUGCUUCUCCCAAGGGAGGCAGAAAACCACAAAACCUAGAUGGGACAAGAUAGAGGCUGGGUGACACCUAGGCCUUACAAAGUGAGGAUGAAUAACUUGGGCACAAAUGGAUCCCUUGGCUAUUUGGAAAGAAGAGAAGACUCAGCUAAAAAUCCAGCUGUUUAAUUGUGGGGUGAAGCUGUAUGGUAUGCGAACAUUUAUUUAAAAAAUAAUUAUGACCACUUUAGUAAUUAUUAAUUAUUAAUUAAUACUAUAUAAU
rnacentral:lncRNA from 1 species